CUGUGACUCCUACGGGAGGCAGCAGUGGGGAAUAUUGCACAAUGGGCGCAAGCCUGAUGCAGCCAUGCCGCGUGUGUGAAGAAGGCCUUCGGGUUGUAAAGCACUUUCAGUUGUGAGGAAGGUGGUGUCGUUAAUAGCGGCAUCAUUUGACGUUAGCAACAGAAGAAGCACCGGCUAACUCCGUGCCAGCAGCCGCGGUAAUACGGAGGGUGCGAGCGUUAAUCGGAAUUACUGGGCGUAAAGCGCAUGCAGGUGGUUUGUUAAGUCAGAUGUGAAAGCCCCGGGGCUCAACCUCGGAACUGCAUUUGAAACUGGCAGACUAGAGUACUGUAGAGGGGGUAGAAUUUCAGGUGUAGCGGUGAAAUGCGUAGAGAUCUGAAGGAAUACCGGUGGCGAAGGCGGCCCCCUGGACAGAUACUGACACUCAGAUGCGAAAGCGUGGGGAGCAAACAGGAUUAGAUACCCUGGUAG
rnacentral:rRNA from 1 species